AAUGACUCUCGGCAACGGAUAUYUCGGCUCUUACAUCGAUGAAGAACGUAGCAAAAUGCGAUACUUGGUGUGAAUUGCAAAAUCCCGUGAACCAUCGAGUCUUUGAACGCAAGUUGCGCCCGAAUCCAUCUGGUUGAGGGCACGUCUGCCUGGGUGUCACGUA
rnacentral:rRNA from 1 species